GCCAAUGCAUGCUUUUACAGUAUGGAAAUUGGUGAUUUAUAAUAACUUGGCAAAUCGCAAAGUGAAAACAGGCGAUAAAUCAUUCAAGUUUCUGACCUAUCAGCUUUCGACGGUAUGGUAUUGGCUUACCGUGGCAGUGACGGUUAACGGGGGAUUAGGGUUCGAUUCCGGAGAGGGAGCCUGAGAAACGGCUACCACAUCUAAGGAAGGCAGCAGGCGCGCAAAUUACCCAAUUCUAACAGUUUGAGAGAGGUAGUAACAAGAAAUAACAAUACAAGGCAAUUAAAAUGUUUUGUAAUUGGAAUGAUAGAAAUUUAAACCCUUUUUAAAGUAUCAAUUGGAGGGCAAGUCUGGUGCCAGCAGCCGCGGUAAUUCCAGCUCCAAUAGCGUAUAUUAAAAUUGUUGCAGUUAAAAAGCUCGUAGUUGAAGUUCUGCUAAAAGUAACCGGUCUGCUUUUAAUAAAAGUGGUAUCUUGGUGUGUAUUUAGCAAUGAUGUCCUUUGAAGUGUUUUUUACUUUAUUGUAAUAAAGCAUAUUCAGGACUUUUACUUUGAGAAAAUUAGAGUGUUUCUAGCAGGCCGACGCUUUGAAUACUGCAG
rnacentral:rRNA from 1 species